GUCUGUCAGAGCAUAGUGUUUCUUUAUAACGUGACAUCGCCAACUAGUGGCCUGGCAUGCAUAAUACAGCAUUUU